rnacentral:rRNA from 1 species
AUUGAACGCUGGCGGAAUGCUUUACACAUGCAAGUCGAACGGCAGCACGGGGGCAACCCUGGUGGCGAGUGGCGAACGGGUGAGUAAUACAUCGGAACGUGCCCAGUCGUGGGGGAUAACGUAGCGAAAGCUACGCUAAUACCGCAUACGAUCUACGGAUGAAAGCGGGGGAUCGCAAGACCUCGCGCGAUUGGAGCGGCCGAUGGCAGAUUAGGUAGUUGGUGGGGUAAAGGCUCACCAAGCCUGCGAUCUGUAGCUGGUCUGAGAGGACGACCAGCCACACUGGAACUGAGACACGGUCCAGACUCCUACGGGAGGCAGCAGUGGGGAAUUUUGGACAAUGGGCGAAAGCCUGAUCCAGCCAUUCCGCGUGCAGGAUGAAGGCCCUCGGGUUGUAAACUGCUUUUGUACGGAACGAAAAGGCUCUUUCUAAUACAAAGAGCUCAUGACGGUACCGUAAGAAUAAG